rnacentral:rRNA from 1 species
GUAUAAGCAUUAUACAGCGAAACUGCGAAUGGCUCAUUAUAUAAGUUAUCGUUUAUUUGAUAGUGCCUUACUACUUGGAUAACCGUGGUAAUUCUAGAGCUAAUACAUGCUAAAAACCCCGACUUCGGAAGGGGUGUAUUUAUUAGAUACAAAACCAAUGCCCUUCGGGGCUCUUUGGUGAUUCAUGAUAACUAUACGAAUCGCACGGCCUUGCGCCGGCGAUGGUUCAUUCAAAUUUCUUCCCUAUCAACUUUCGAUGUUUGGGUAUUGGCCAAACAUGGUUGCAACGGGUAACGGAGGGUUAGGGCUCGACCCCGGAGAAGGAGCCUGAGAAACGGCUACUACAUCCAAGGAAGGCAGCAGGCGCGCAAAUUACCCAAUCCCGACUCGGGGAGGUAGUGACAAUAAAUACUGAUACAGGGCCCUUUCGGGCCUUGUAAUUGGAAUGAGUACAAUUUAAAUCCCUUAACGAGGAACAAUUGGAGGGCAAGUCUGGUGCCAGCAGCCGCGGUAAUUCCAGCUCCAAUAGCGUAUAUUAAAGUUGUUGUGGUUAAAAAGCUCGUAGUUGAACCUUGGGCCUGGCUGGCCGGUCCGCCUCACCGCGUGCACUGGUCCGGCCGGGCCUUUCCCUCUGUGGAACCCCAUACCCUUCACUGGGCGUGGCGGGGAAACAGGACAUUUACUUUGAAAAAAUUAGAGUGCUCCAGGCAGGCCUAUGCUCGAAUACAUUAGCAUGGAAUAAUAAAAUAGGACGCGCGGUUCUAUUUUGUUGGUUUAUAGGACCGCCGUA